CGGCGCGCGGGGGGGCGGGGGCGCGCGCCUGGCGGGACGGCCCAUCCCCGUCCCGCCGGGGGAAGGCGUUAAGGAGGACCGGCGGCUCCUUCCCGCUUUUCCAGCCGGCGAGGGACAGCUCCGACGAGACCGCGGCUGCCCCGCACGGCCCGGCCAAAACAACGAGACCGAGAGCCGGCGCUACGCCGUUUCGAAAGUGAGCCCCCACCCCUUGUCACGCACCCUCUUGUCUACCCCCUUUCCCUCGGCCGCGUUGGUACGAUCCUGCCCGACGCGCCUCAGAGCCGGACAGGCAGGGAAGUGGUACGGCCGGCGGGGGGGGGGGUGCGAGCGCCGCGGUGCGCACGUUACAGGGGACGCGCUCGGGCUGUGCCGGGCGGCGCUCUCUCCUUCCCCCCUCCGCUCAGCGCCGCCGUUGGUUGCAGCCGGGCAGCCCGCGCGGGCGGCCGGGCGGGGCGGGGCGGGAGGCGCGGCAGGGGAGCGGGGGCGGGGGCGGCGUUCUGUGCUCGCCUGGCCCGGCCCGUCCGUGAGGGGACCGGCGGUCGGGAAGCGCCGGAGGAGGUGCCGCUGCCGCUGAGACGCUCCUGCCACGUGCGAUGCAAGAGGAUGGUGCCAGACUCUUUUCAUUGGUGCCCAGCGACAGGAUGAGGAGCAGUGGCCCUAAAAUAAAACACAAGAAGUUCCAUCUCAACGUGAGGAAGAACUUCUUUACGCUGAGGCUGGCAGCGCACUGGAACAGGCUGCCCGGGGAGGCCGUGGGGUCUCCCGCUCUGGAGACAUUCCAAACCCACCUGGACGCGUUCCUGUGUCACCUGCUGUCGGUGACCCCGCCUUGGCAGGGGGUUGGACUGGAUGAUCCCCAGCUCGCUGACCGGGGGCUGCUUUUCCCUGCCGAGCUGAGCGGCCGCAGGGAGUGGGAGCGAAACGAAGCAAGGAAAAGCAGCUCCUGCUGCAAUUUUGAAUAUAAAUGGCAGACGCUGGCAGUGCUGAAACCAGCCUUGGUUUGUUUCAGUGCAGCCACUGGAGGGAAUCUCGGUUUUGCCAAAGAGCCUCAUGAGCAAGUUUGCAAAGUCUAAGACAAUUCUUUAGAAGAAUGAGGAGUUUCAUAGGGUAGAGGGUACAGGGACGUUGAAAGACCCCAGCUAAAGCAUUUUAAACCUGCUUUUUCCUGAUCACAUGCCCUGCUUAGCCACACUGUAGGCUGUGGGUAGAAUUCCCUGCCUUUUGCAGACUGAUCCCUGCUCUUGUGGCUGGCAGAGGUGUGUGCUGCUGUGGCUGACAGGACACUCACUACUCGAUGACAGGACACUACAACACAAAACGUGCAUCUUGGUCCUUACUCGGUGCAUUGCUUGCUCUAUUCCUCAGCUGUUGCUGGCUGAAGGCCCUGGCUCUUCCCUGCAGCCCUAGCCAGCCCUUUGGGUUACAGCACACAUUUGUCAGUGGCAUCCAUGGCCACCCCGUGGCUGUACAGCUGCUUCCCAACUGGCACGCUCUCUCCUCAGACUGUUCCUAGGCUGGCUCCUUUCCCCAGCCCCAUGAAGAUUACUCUUCCUGGCUCUGCUGUCCAAGGGUGUACUGCAGCUGCCCAUCACCCCCUGCUUUUUUCCCUUGACAACCAGUUCCCAGGCUGCUGGCUCCAAGCUGUUCUUGCAUUCCUACAGCAUCAGGCUCUCCAAGGGCCCACUGCCUGGGCCUUAUGCUCUCUGUUACCAGAAUGGCACUUCUGCCCUGUCUCUUCAGAUUAAACAGGACCUUGAGUUGAUGUGAUGCUAAUCUGGCUUGCUUUUCUCUCUAGGAGUUGUCUCUGGCCCAAUCCUGACACUGUAGGUCAUGCUAAGGAGGAGCAAUGCCAGCGUGUCCAUUAGGCUGAUUGUAUUUCUGACGACUUCACUCAUCACCAUGGUAUCGGGAUACAUUUUUUUGGACUAUUUUGGUCCAUUUCUUCUGUCUCCCACACACUUUAUCAUCAUCACUAUAAUACUUGUAGGAAACCAAAAACGGAAAAAAGGGUUGAGGAAACCUGUUUUUUCUAGAGUUGAUAUGCUUCAUGGUGAUUCAUGGUUAUUUUUGUAUGAUCUUGGAGUGAACUCAUAGGGUAACUGUUCUAAUAUCUCUGUGUUCCAAAGGAUACGUUUUCUAGUUACUACAAACUGCAAUGAAGAAUCCUAGGAAUGAAGAAUGCAUGAUGGCCAUGGCCAAAUCAGCAGGUAAUCAGAAGGUACCAUCUCCUAGGCAGUUACUAACAGAAUUCUGAGGACUUAUUUUUUUGGCAGAAGCAUGUACUUGGCCCUGGAGAACUGGUGAUGUGUCUGAAAGUGUCCCAAGGCUACAGGCAUCUCCAGCAACUGGAGAGCAAACAUGUUCCCCUGAAGUACACUGAACACUGGGAAUGCCACAAAAUGUUUUUCUGUUUCCACAAGUAUGACAUCUAGAUGUCAUUCACUGGUUACCCAAGCACUGUACAUAAAAUAUUGUGCACUGGGGUAUCUCGGUGAUCACGGUGUUUGGGACAAUGUGGGUUACAUGCCAGCCACAUAGAUACUUCUUUUAGGAUCUGAAUGUUCCAUUCUCUUCUUCCACAUUUUCAGGUUUGUUUUGAGUAGAGGAAAAAAAAAUACAUUUGUGGGAUGCCACAGUUCAGGAACCUUAAAAUUAAAGUAGUAAUUUCCCAUUGUAUUUUCCCAAAUGAUCCAAAUUAAAUACACACAAUUGUUUAGUAAAUUCCCAUUUCUAUGCAAAAUACAGGAGAGCAGUGUUUGGAAUUUAAGUGUGUCAGUUUUUAGAGGGAAGAUAUAAGAUCAUUCAUUCAUAGUAACUAAAACCAUCUCCUUUGCCUUAAGUGUGUCUGAGGAUUAAGUUAAAUCGAUUUAUUCCCAUUUGUGAUAUUCUUUCAUUCAUAUGUGUAACGUUUUGGACUUCCACAUUCCUAAAUGGCAACAGAUCUAAAGAAACACUGAAAAAAAGGAAUCUGCAGCUCUGGUUUUUUUACCAUGCAAAGGGAAAUUCACAUUCAAAAUCAACAUUUAAAUAAUGGCACAGAUGCAUACAAGCAGGGAAAUAGAUAGCUACAAUGGAAAUGUGCCACAUGUCUCAGAACACAUAACCACAACAGGGUGUCUCUUUUAUGACUUCCUUAAUGCACUGCAAUAUGCCUAGAUAUCAAAGGACAUAUGGUAUAUUUUCCCAUUAAUUGCACAUUUCUUCGCUCUUGUGAGUUACUCAUAACCUUAACAUUAUUUAAUUGUAAUUUAGAUGCGUAAAUCUCGACCACCAAAAAGAGUUUCAAAUGCAAACAUGUUUCAGUCAGAUCUUUCUUCCAACUCUUAUUCCAACUUUUGUCAAUGUUGUCUUUUGUUUGGUUGAUGUGCAUUUGAAUAUGUCAUACUUUUGGAGAGAGAAGAACGCAGACAGAGGAAGAUCAGUCCUUUUCUGAAAGAUUUUUUUCCCAUAUUUUCCAACUCAUAUUUCUUGGUAACAAAUUGUUUUCUGCCACUUUUAUUAUCUGAGUUUGCAUAAAGUCAUGGACAUUCCCAUUCACAAGCAGGAAAAUACAGAAUUCUGCUUCAUCAACGUUUUCAAAUGUACAUUUAAAAUUUAAAAAUUUCAAACUUAGUAUUUAUGAAGGUAUAUACACAGGAAAGAGGACAGCGAAGAAUUUUGUAGUACAACCACCUGUUUAAAGACCUUCUUGGCUAAAGGUUUCUGUAUGAAAGUUAAGAAUGAUUCUCAAGAGUCAGGCAUUUCUUAGACAAAGCCUUUAACAGUUCUUUUGGUGACAGGACCUCAUUUCGUGCAUUCACUUCAAAUGACUAAACCCCACCCUCUUUUGUUACUGUAGUAAGUAUGAUAGCUCAGAAUUCACUGCUAAUAGGGUGACAGUGAAUUUGAGCUUCCUUUUCAGGGUAGACAGCUUUUUUGUCUUGCAAUUAAAAAAAAAAGGGUGUGUUUAUGCACGUGUUAUGUAGCAUCAGCAAUGCCCUCAGGUAACAGAGCAGAUCCCAAGGAAGAAGUGUCUUUCCUUAGAUUGAAAAGGAAGAUAGCAAAAGGAAAAAAUGCCAUUUUUGGUGUAGUAUUUCUUCACUAACUGGACUUGGUGAUCUCAUAACUUUUCUGGGAUUUCCUACAUGCCCAGUCUCUGUGUUAAUUCAUCUUGUUGCAAAAUGGAGCUUGCACCUGAAGGUCUGCCUGUGUAAAUGGCUGAUGUUCCAAUUCUAUUUAUUUAAAAAACAGUAAUUUGUUAUUAAAAUACACAGCAGUUUCAGAGUGGGGUUUAGGGUAAAUGGUGCUUCUUGCUUCCUAAAAGGGAUCACACUAACAGGAUACAUUUGUCUUGAAUUUAUUCUGCCAGGUUCUUGUCUGGUUUUUUUCUCCCAAUUUUGUUGUUUCUAUUCUGCACUGGCUAUUGUAUUGAGUAUUAAUAAGAAGUAGCACCUGAAAUGCAAGCCUGUGUGUUCUAGUGUAAAACGAAGUACCAAGCAGCACUGCACACUACAAGGAUAUUUGCUGGCUUUGCCAUAUUCCAGAGGGGCAGUAACAAACCCAGAAAAAAAUCAUUGGGAUGCUAAAUUUUUAUUCUACUACCUGUUGUUUGAGUCUGCAAGUAUAAAUAUUUAGAGUAAAGAAGCUCAGAGCGGGUUCAGCAGUUUGCAGUAAUGGGAGUAAGUUCAACAUCUGAGGUGAGAAAAUCUUUCCAUGUCCUGAUUUUAUUCUUCAAAAGGGAAUCUUCAGCUACUUGGAACAUAUGCUAUAAAUAAAAAAUAGCAGAACAUCUAAUCUAAGCCUCCUUAGCGCUGAAAAUUCUUUAAGUAUUCUUAGAGGUUAAUAUUUUAUUUUAGGACACAGAAGCAAAGUGCUACAGUUCACUAACUUCCUCAAUUUUUGAAUGCUCAAAGCAAAGCAGAAAAGACAAAUAUGAGAAGGCACUGCCAAGCUGUGCUGAAGAAAAGGUAGCAGUGAUCUUGAUGAUCACUGAACUUCCAGAUCUGUUAAAAGGCAACACAUUUGCAGUGCAGAGGCACACUGUUGUUCUGGGGACUCUCACUUGUGCAUCAUCUGCAUAAUCUCCAGCCUUCUGAAGACUCAUGACCAUGAAGGACAGAGGAGACGACUGAACUACUACAGGGCAGUACUAUCACCCUCUCACAAUUCCAGUCAACAACUUCCUGAGGGAUUAUAGAAAGUACAAAUUAUAUCACAUGCAAUUUCCUUUCAGAGACCCUGAUGUCAUAAAGUAAAAAAGACCCCCCUCAUUCUGCUGGGAGUGCUCUUUCCAGUGCUGCCCAGGAUGCUCUUGGCCCUUGCGGCAAGGGCACAUUGCUGGCUCACAUUCACCUUGUCCAGCAAGAUUUCCAGGUACUUUUUGCAAAGCUGCUUUGAGCAGUCACGUGAGCUGGUGAAUGGAGUUGUUACUCCUCAGGUACAGGGCUUUUUGCUCUUCCCUUUGUUAAACUUCAUGAGCUUCAUGUCUGCCUAUUUCUUCAAGCUGUUGAGGUCCUCUGAAAGACAUACACCACUUGGUGUAGGCAACAUCUCCUCCCACUCUUGGAACAUCUGCAAACUUGCUGAGGUUCCAAUUCUCUGCUGUCAUCCAGAUCAGUAAUGAAGAAGUUAAACAGUAUUGGCCCCAGUAUUGACCUCCGAGAUAUAUCACUAUUGACUAGUCCCUAGCUGGACUUCAUACUGUUGGCCACAACCCUGUUAGACUGGCAGUUCAGCUAAUUCUCAGUACACCUCACUGUACACUUAUUUAAUCUGUAUUUCAUCAGUUUGCCUAUGAGACUGUUUUGAGAGAUACUGUCUAAAGCCUUAAAUAAGGUUGGGAUUAGUAAAAUAUCCCCUCUCUGCAUGCUCGGUGUCUCUGUAUUCCACCAGAUCCCCUGUCCCUGCUUCCACCUGUGGUACACUUGAUUUUUAUGUUUGGGUUUUGUCAGGAGCUCCUUGCUUGUGUUCAUCCGUGCAGGCCUCCUUGCAUUUAUGCACAGGUGUUUCUUUUCAAGUAGGAGAAAAAAGGAGGGGAAGGAAAUGCUUCGUGUGAGUGCGGUCUGUAAGAAGAGGGUCCUCAAAGUAGAGGAGGUCUGCUGUGAAAAAAAGGAGACUGCAUCCACAGGGAGAAGUCUGGUCUGUAGGGAUGAUGGCUGCUGGAGCAUCUCUCUUUCCCUGCUGUGCCACUGAGGAAAGCAGCAUCUUGUCAUCAGGGACAAGCCUCUUGGAUAGCAGAAAUUGCUCUGUACUAGUUGCAAUGGCAAUAGGCAGACUGCAAGAGACAAGAAAGGCAAACCUAGAGAUCAAAUUCAUCAAAACAAGACAGGAUGAUAUUGGAAAUAUUCCUGGACACCUGGAAGACAACUUUGGGCUUAGAUCUGCACAGCCUUCCUCCUCCUCUGCCCUAGAUGCUACCUUUUGACAUGUCUGUUUCAUAAAUGAAACCCCUGUUCCAUACAUCUAUAAGCCAACACUUUCAAACACUUGCCUCCACAAAGAAUAUUUCCCUUCAGACGAGGACUGAAUGAAGGCAGAACUGCAUGGAAACUCAGCAUAUUGUAAGUGAAACAGCCUAGAGCAUUCAUCUCAUAUCUCAUCUCGUGUCAUCUCAUCGUAUAGUUCCAUGUGACCACUAAACUGGCUGGUCAUGGCUAGUUGCCACUAGCAAGGCAAAGGUCUUACCCUAAACCACUAGUUGCAAGGCAAAGGUCUUACCCUAGGCUGUGCUCUUCCAUUGUCAUUUUUGUGUUGGCAUUGCUGCCUGGCUGGGUUGAGGUAAACCAGGAUGGAAGCUCUGCAGGCCAGAGAUAAGCCAAGAAGAGAAGAUUUCUUGCAAUGUCUCACCCAGGCCAGGUGAGAGCCAGCAGAGCCUCAGAGGAAGCAAUUCAAAGAGGAAAGCCACAGUAGCACUGAUUUAGAUCAGUCUAAAUCCCCAUACUCUAGUGUGUGCUUUCUGAGUCUGCCACUUCCUUCUCCUGCUUCUGCUCUGUCCUAGGCACUGCUAUCUCUCCCCCAGUGCUCCUUCUGAGGCUGCUUUGGAGCUCUUGUGAGUCAAUUCAGCUCACCAACCUCACAGAAAAAAAACCCUCUUCAUUUGCUUGUUGGUUUGAUUCAAUGUGUGAAUCCCAUAACUCUGUGAGGGAAAGGAGGAGUGAAGGAAGAAGUUGGAGGAGGAGAUGGAACUGUCCUUUUUUGAUGGUCAAACCAUUAUUGCCACCCACUGAGGGUGCAAUUUGAUGUUACACCUAACCAAUCCAGCCAUGCAAGGUGCAACUGAAGAUAACAGUGCUAAAGUCACUGAUCUGAUGUAAAGUGAACUCUUUUCUUUGUUGAGUUGCCACAAAGCUGAGUGAUUGCUAAAUCCAGUUCAGGGGAAGCUGCAGGAAUGUCUGUGUGGAACUUUUUGGGAAGAACAGAACUGUUGUAUUUUGUGGCAAUCUCCACUUAGGUUGUGCUAUCAGGAUGUUAAACUGUCCUCUUUGCAUGCUUUCGGAAGGGAUAAAAACAAAACUCAGCUUUUCAAAAAAAAAUUUACUUUUGAGUUGGGUCAACACAGUGAUCUGACUUAACAGCUGCAAAACAGUUCAUCCUAAACCAGAGAGAGAAUGAAAAGAUAAAGUGAGGGGCAGGAGAUAGGAGAAUCUCUUUUUUGAUAGCAGCGUGCUCUUACAUUGGCUGAUGCUGAACAUGGAACUGCUCCCCAAGAAAGGGAGUCCAAGUGACUGAAGAAAUUUUCAGCUUUUUGUAGUAAACAGCUCAUCAAAAUGAUCUAACUUUAAAAAAUUCAUUAUCUUUUACUUUUACAAACUGUUUUCACUGGCCUCACAAGCAGAUGACUUUGUGGGAGAAUGGUAGAAUUAAGAACUGCACCAGAGAGUGAUUGACUAUGAAAUUGGGAAGUAAGGAACUUAGCUGGCUUGACCAUCAGGAAAGUUGUAAUGUGGUAUUAUGCUUUGGAUUUUCUACAGUAGCUUGUAAUGAAGAAGAAUAAAGAUGUACCUCAGCAACCGUCUCUUUUUACACACUAUUAAGGAGCUGUAGCCCCAUUUCCUGCUACUGUGGGGUGGUGAGAGUGGUACACUAGGGAAGAGGGUGCUUCUCAUAUGUGUUUUUGGAGCAGCCAAAUCCAUAUUUAAUUCUGCAAGUUAACUUUCUGUAAACUUAAAAACUGUUAUGGCCUGAAACUGACUUAAAAUUGAUAUUUCUCAGAAGAAGGUUACUCCUGUGUGCUGUUAUGAAUUUGUCUCUGUCUUCAUCUACAUUGCUUCUUCAGCAGUUUCUGACUUCAAAAAAAAGUUGCAAUGGUUUGCUUCUUUUUAAAUUUGUUGAAUUUGUUGCUAGUUAAUGAAAGAGUCUUUGUGAUUACUUUAUCACCAUCAUUAUACAGACUUGGCUGCUGGUGCCAGAAUGGUGAUUAACAGCGCCAUAAACUGACUCUUGAGGGUCCAGCCACAGUAGAAUAUAUCACACACUGCUUUGCAACUUUAGCAGAUAAGUGGUUUGACACUUGUAGGUUCCUGCUUAAAAGUGUCAGACAAUCCUCAGUAUUGACAACAAACUGGUAGUUCUUAACUAUUAUAUAUAAAAAAAAAAAUGAAGGUAGGUUACAAGGUUUUUUUGCAUUUCUUAAAUUAAUAUCACCAUUUUUCACAAAAAGAAAAAUCAUCCUUAUGAGCUCUUUUAUUUUAAGGAGCAUCAGCAAACAUAACUGUUCUACAUAUGUAUAGAUCUGUGAAGAACUUUAUUGUAUAAUUUGAAAAUAAUAAAGGAGAGAGACCAAACAAUGUUACUGUAUAAAAGAAUUGGGAUAAAAAUAUAAAGUUAAAAAGAAGACAGCAAUAACAUCCCUUACAGAAGAGAGCAAUGUGAAAGACCAAAUUGAAUGUAAAAUUCACAGAUGCAGUUUCUUGUUUUCAAAGACUAUCAGAACACCUGUGAGCAGGCUGAUUGAUUGCAACCAGCUGAGGUGUUCCUUCAAAUCUGUUCACAACUGUGCCUGAGAUCAUGUUAAACGAUGAUAUGAUUCAGCCUUAAUUUCUGUAGUUUGUGUGGUUUUAACAGGGAGUAGUUUCUUCACAGUGAAGCUUGUUUUACCUCAGUUACGUGUGCAUUACUUGAAUGGAGUUGUGCAGUUAGAACACUGACCACAGACUAACUUCUAAAGGUUGGAAAUAAGCUCUAUGAUGCAUUGGAAAUGAAGAGCUUUUUCAGUCUUCUGUUUUGCUUGUAUUGAGUCAGUAAAUUUCAUAAUUUUCUGGGAUGCCAAAACUGGUCAGUUUUCCCAGAGUGCUGCACGCAAAGCCAAUGGCUAUAGACCUUUUGGUAUAUCUGCCUUGACUGUGGGCUUUGAUAGCAGUGGGAGUCCUGAACUGCGCCAAACAGAUCCAUCUGGUACCUACCAGUCUUGGAAAGUAUGUGUCAAUUUAAUAUAUCUCGUAUUGUCUGCAAGUAUCUAAGUGUUGUAUGUAAGUACUGCAUGUAUGGACUGCAUCCAGAGUUAAUUUUAUGCAUUAAAAGUCAGUGCAUGUCUUGGACAUUGAUGUUGAAUUCUGAACUGUACAUCAACAGGAUCAGGAGGAAGGUUCCAGGUAACUCACUGAAUUAUACUUUGUUUUGGAAAUGAACUUGUAAUAAACUAUAGCAAAAAUACAGAAAUAGAUGUAAAAGUUUUACAAAGGCUUAAUAUUUGCUGCAAGAAAUGGUAGCCUAUUCAUACAGAAAAAAAAAUUGUCUGAAGUGUAUCUUGUGUUUCUUUGUAAUUCUUUUGUUCACUUGUUGCUUUUAAUAGAAAUUUUCUGUAAAAAUACUUAAAACUCACAAAUGAUCUGUGUUUGAAAGAACACAAACUGAAACUAGGGCAUUAUUGGAGUUUUUGUACCAGAGAAUUUUAACUCAUACAGACUGAUCACAAGCUUUUGUAAUUGACUCAAGUAAAUUGGAACAAGUAUGGUGAACCCUUCUGUGCAUCAUUUUAGAAGCUCUCUCUAUCAGCAUUGCAACUGGAAGCGGUAGCAAGAAAGUAAUCUGGAUGAUUAUAUUUAGGCUUCCAUUCUAAUUGAAGGGAAACUGUUGAAUAUGAUGAUUGUUCAUGGAGGCAAUGAUCAAGAGGAGUAUUAUUGUUUAUAAUCCUGCAGACAGGUAGAGGCAGGGUCGAGGAAGUCCUCUGGCUAAAGGCACAGUCACACCUGAUAGCAGCUGGUGUUGUCCAUGCUUUGUACUCAGUCCAUCAAAUAUUUACCACUAGAAGUUACUGGAGUAAUUUCACUGCCGAGUUUGUGCUCAGUGAAUUCUGGAAGCUCUCACAGUACCUCUUAAUUAGUGACCAAAACUGCUGAAGACCAUUUUUUUGUCCUCAAGAUCAUGUUCGUACUAGACUCUCCUUGCCUCCAGAAUGUACCAGCUGUGCCCUGGCUGCCUGCUCGUGGUGUGUGCCAGAGACCAUUGCAGCAAUAGCAAUGACCAUGCUCCAGUGUCUGGACACAUACACUGAUUACCUUUUCAUUCUGGCAUAGGUGUAGUUAAGGCAGCUGGAAGCUGCUGCAGUGGAUUGAGCUCUCCAGUGCAGACAGGAGCAGUGUCCACCUUCACUGCUCAGAAGGCUUUCCAUUAAUUCUCUUUGAUAAGUAUCUUCCAGACUUAAUAGAAGAGGAGGGGGGAAGAUAGAAUGUCAGCAUGUUUUGUAAUUGCUUCCAUACUUUGGUUAUGAGUAAACUGGAAGAAUUUUUCUGUAGAAUCGACUAAAACUUCCCCAGACCUAUAAGUGUACGUGCCUUGGUGAAGGCAAAACAUUGGCUUUGAGGCAAAGAACUGAAGGGCAUAAGAAUCCUUUAAAGUCUUACGCUAGUUUUAUUUAUGUUCUGUGCAUUUUGUGAAUUUCUCUCUGUCCACUAAUGAAAUAAAAUAUCCAAAGAGAAAGUCGAAUAGUGAUUAUCAUUUCUGUAUUCACUAAUCUUUGUUUCCAAGUGGGUAGUUUUAUUAUAUAAGUACUUCUCAUUACUGUGUUGCUACUGUAAAUGCUAGUUUUAUCAAUUUGAUACUUUUGCCAUUUUUCUUACACCUCUUAAUGCUAUUGAUGGCUUUAGCGUAGCUGCUAGAACUGACAAGUAAGUAAACACUUUGUGUUGUCUCUAUUUAAGAAUCUUUGAGGGGAAAGGUGCCUUUUAGAUAAUUUGUCAGGUAAUAACCAUUCUUGCUGUUAGCAUUAUCUCCCUCCCAAUUCCCUUUUGCUCUGAGAUUUGGGUUCUUAACUUGGAGGUUAUGGACGAAAGGUAAUGAGAAAGCCUAAUUCCUUCUUUCCUCCUUUCUUAAUUGUUGUGUGUUUGUGUGUUUUUAUUUUUCCCAAGGUGAGCAUAGAGUAGCAAAGUUACUGAUGCAAGAGGUAGUGUUUAACUUUGCAGUCUUCUACUGUGCUAUACCGUGAUGUGCCCAUCACACCGUCUUGGUUUCCUGUCCUGCUGGGUCUUGCCUGUAUUUGUCUCUUACUCCCUAGUUUUUGCCUCAAGAGUGUAGUUAAUUGGACUAUGUUUCGUGUUCUCUGCUUGAUUUCCAAAAGACAGAAAGUAGGGAAGCCCUUCUCACAGUCUGCUUUUCCCAUCCUCUGAAUUUCUUUCAUCUCUAAUGAACUUGGACCAAAGCACAGACCACUGUUCUUCAGAGCUACCAUAAUAUUUCAAAGGUGGGAAAGAGUUCUGGAGCAUGCAGAUAGAUGUUGAGUAGAUUGAGCAAUGAGCAUGUAAAAAGCUGAAGACUUACAGAAUCUAACAACUGGUUUACUAAAAAAAAAAAGAAAGUAUUGUAAACAUGAAAAGAAAAACAAUUUUCUGAAUAUACUUUUUUUUCCCACUGUAAACAGUGUAGGACACCUUUCUUGCCAUUCUCAUUUUAAUUUCGAGAAAAUGCUGAUGGGACCUUGUUUGCAGGAUUGGCAGAGGUGUGUUGGCAGUUGGACCACCAGGGAUACUGUUAGCUGACCGAGUCAUGGCACAUGAUCAUAAUCAGCUCUUCAGUAAACCCAGAUGAAGCUUCUGCCCACCUUCUGCAUCUCUUUUAAAUGAACAAAUGCUACUGAUUUUUGUUAGUAUUAUUACAUUAGAAUAAGUUUUUUUUAUCAUUACACUUCAGAGAGGGAAAGAUAAUCCUUGAGCCACUACAAAUAUUUAUUCUCUAGAUAUUCAAGAAAAGACAAUGCAGCACUAGAAGCCAGUCUUGCAUCCCACACCAUGUGGACGCUCUUCAAUUCACCAGGGAGUUGAUAGCAAUUUUGAUGCCAAUGAAACUGAAAAAAAUUUUGAAUUCCAUUUGAGAGAAACCCUGUGCAUGGCUUUUUUUUCUUCUUUGACCUAAAGAAAUAGGUGCCAAACUUUGGCAUUCUUCCAAACAGUACUUCUUGAUUCCCUCCCCCCCCCCCCC